UUAAGCGACUAAGCGUACACGGUGGAUGCCCUGGCAGUCAGAGGCGAUGAAGGACGUGCUAAUCUGCGAAAAGCGUCGGUAAGGUGAUAUGAACCGUUAUAACCGGCGAUGUCCGAAUGGGGAAACCCAGUGCAAUUCGUUGCACUAUCGUUAACUGAAUACAUAGGUUAACGAGGCGAACCGGGGGAACUGAAACAUCUAAGUACCCCGAGGAAAAGAAAUCAACCGAGAUUCCCCCAGUAGCGGCGAGCGAACGGGGAGCAGCCCAGAGUCUGAAUCAGCUUGUGUGUUAGUGGAACGGUCUGGAAAGUCCGACGGUACAGGGUGAUAGUCCCGUACACCAAAAUGCACAGGUUGUGAACUCGAAGAGUAGGGCGGGACACGUGGUAUCCUGUCUGAAUAUGGGGGGACCAUCCUCCAAGGCUAAAUACUCCUGACUGACCGAUAGUGAACCAGUACCGUGAGGGAAAGGCGAAAAGAACCCCGGCGAGGGGAGUGAAAAAGAACCUGAAACCGUGUACGUACAAGCAGUGGGAGCACCUUCGGGUGUGACUGCGUACCUUUUGUAUAAUGGGUCAGCGACUUAUAUUCUGUAGCAAGGUUAACCGUAUAGGGGAGCCGCAGGGAAACCGAGUCUUAACUGGGCGUUAAGUUGCAGGGUAUAGACCCGAAACCCGGUGAUCUAGCCAUGGGCAGGUUGAAGGUUGGGUAACACUAACUGGAGGACCGAACCGACUAAUGUUGAAAAAUUAGCGGAUGACUUGUGGCUGGGGGUGAAAGGCCAAUCAAACCGGGAGAUAGCUGGUUCUCCCCGAAAGCUAUUUAGGUAGCGCCUCGUGAAUUCAUCUUCGGGGGUAGAGCACUGUUUCGGCUAGGGGGUCAUCCCGACUUACCAACCCGAUGCAAACUACGAAUACCGAAGAAUGUUAUCACGGGAGACACACGGCGGGUGCUAACGUCCGUCGUGAAGAGGGAAACAACCCAGACCGCCAGCUAAGGUCCCAAAGUCAUGGUUAAGUGGGAAACGAUGUGGGAAGGCACAGACAGCCAGGAUGUUGGCUUAGAAGCAGCCAUCAUUUAAAGAAAGCGUAAUAGCUCACUGGUCGAGUCGGCCUGCGCGGAAGAUGUAACGGGGCUAAACCAUGCACCGAAGCUGCGGCAGCGACACUAUGUGUUGUUGGGUAGGGGAGCGUUCUGUAAGCCUGCGAAGGUGACCUGUGAGGGUUGCUGGAGGUAUCAGAAGUGCGAAUGCUGACAUAAGUAACGAUAAAGCGGGUGAAAAGCCCGCUCGCCGGAAGACCAAGGGUUCCUGUCCAACGUUAAUCGGGGCAGGGUGAGUCGACCCCUAAGGCGAGGCCGAAAGGCGUAGUCGAUGGGAAACAGGUUAAUAUUCCUGUACUUGGUGUUACUGCGAAGGGGGGACGGAGAAGGCUAUGUUAGCCGGGCGACGGUUGUCCCGGUUUAAGCAUGUAGGCUGAUUGUCCAGGCAAAUCCGGAUAAUCAAGGCUGAGGUGUGAUGACGAGGCACUACGGUGCUGAAGUAACAAAUGCCCUGCUUCCAGGAAAAGCCUCUAAGCAUCAGGUAACAUCAAAUCGUACCCCAAACCGACACAGGUGGUCAGGUAGAGAAUACCAAGGCGCUUGAGAGAACUCGGGUGAAGGAACUAGGCAAAAUGGUGCCGUAACUUCGGGAGAAGGCACGCUGGUGUGUAGGUGAAGUCCCUGCGGAUGGAGCUGAGACCAGUCGAAGAUACCAGCUGGCUGCAACUGUUUAUUAAAAACACAGCACUGUGCAAACACGAAAGUGGACGUAUACGGUGUGACGCCUGCCCGGUGCCGGAAGGUUAAUUGAUGGGGUUAUCCGUAAGGAGAAGCUCUUGAUCGAAGCCCCGGUAAACGGCGGCCGUAACUAUAACGGUCCUAAGGUAGCGAAAUUCCUUGUCGGGUAAGUUCCGACCUGCACGAAUGGCGUAAUGAUGGCCAGGCUGUCUCCACCCGAGACUCAGUGAAAUUGAACUCGCUGUGAAGAUGCAGUGUACCCGCGGCAAGACGGAAAGACCCCGUGAACCUUUACUAUAGCUUGACACUGAACAUUGAGCCUUGAUGUGUAGGAUAGGUGGGAGGCUUUGAAGCGUGGACGCCAGUCUGCGUGGAGCCAACCUUGAAAUACCACCCUUUAAUGUUUGAUGUUCUAACGUUGGCCCCUGACCGGGGUUGCGGACAGUGUCUGGUGGGUAGUUUGACUGGGGCGGUCUCCUCCCAAAGCGUAACGGAGGAGCACGAAGGUUAGCUAAUCCUGGUCGGACAUCAGGAGGUUAGUGCAAUGGCAUAAGCUAGCUUGACUGCGAGCGUGACGGCGCGAGCAGGUGCGAAAGCAGGUCAUAGUGAUCCGGUGGUUCUGAAUGGAAGGGCCAUCGCUCAACGGAUAAAAGGUACUCCGGGGAUAACAGGCUGAUACCGCCCAAGAGUUCAUAUCGACGGCGGUGUUUGGCACCUCGAUGUCGGCUCAUCACAUCCUGGGGCUGAAGUAGGUCCCAAGGGUAUGGCUGUUCGCCAUUUAAAGUGGUACGCGAGCUGGGUUUAGAACGUCGUGAGACAGUUCGGUCCCUAUCUGCCGUGGGCGCUGGAGAAUUGAGGGGGGCUGCUCCUAGUACGAGAGGACCGGAGUGGACGCAUCACUGGUGUUCGGGUUGUCAUGCCAAUGGCACUGCCCGGUAGCUAAAUGCGGAAGAGAUAAGUGCUGAAAGCAUCUAAGCACGAAACUUGCCCCGAGAUGAGUUCUCCCUGAGACUAUAAGUCUCCUGAAGGAACGUUAAAGACGAUGACGUUGAUAGGCCGGGUGUGUAAGCGCAGCGAUGCGUUGAGCUAACCGGUACUAAUGAACCGUGAGGCUUAACCUU
rnacentral:rRNA from 1 species